CAAAUUUGAAAUCUGGCUCCUUUGGGGUCCGAGUUGUAAUUUGUAGAGGAUGCUUCGGGUGCGGCACCGGUCUAAGUCCCUUGGAACAGGGCGUCAUAGAGGGUGAGGAUCCCGUAUGUGACCGGCGACCAAGCCCAUGUGAAGCUCCUUCGACGAGUCGAGUUGUUUGGGAAUGCAGCUCAAAAUGGGUGGUAAAUUUCAUCUAAAGCUAAAUACCGGCCAGAGACCGAUAGCGCACAAGUAGAGUGAUCGAAAGAUGAAAAGCACUUUGGAAAGAGAGUCAAAAAGUACGUGAAAUUGUUGAAAGGGAAGCGCUUGUAACCAGACCUGCCGUCGGGUGCUCCGCGGGCAUUCUUGCCCGUUUACUCACCCGCGAUCAGGCCAGCAUCGGUUUUGGCGGCCGGAUAAAGACUCGAGGAAUGUAGCUUCGCUUCGGGGAAGUGUUAUAGCCUCCUGUGCAAUACGGCCAGCCGGGACCGAGGACCGCGCUUCGGCUAGGAUGCUGGCGUAAUGGUUGCAAGCGACCCGUCUUGAAACACGGACCAAGGAGUCUAACAUCUAUGCGAGUGUUUGGGUGUCAAACCCAUGCGCGGAAUGAAAGUGAACGGAGGUGGGAACCCUUAAGGGCGCACCAUCGACCGAUCCGGAAGUUUACGGAUGGAUUUGAGUAUGAGCAUAGCUGUUGGGACCCGAAAGAUGGUGAACUAUGCCUGAAUAGGGUGAAGCCAGAGGAAACUCUGGUGGAGGCUCGCAGCGGUUCUGACGUGCAAAUCGAUCGUCAAAUUUGGGUAUAGGGGCGAAAGACUAAUCGAACCAUCUAGUAGCUGGUUCCUGCCGAAGUUUCGUAAGUUCUUCCGAGGACCCACCCCCUAACGAACUCUUGCUAACAAUCUCAAUAGCCUCAGGAUAGCAGUAACGUUUUCAGUUUUAUGAGGUAAAGCGAAUGAUUAGAGGCCUGGGGGAUGAAACAUCCUUCACCUAUUCUCAAACUUUCAAUAUGUAAGAAGUCCUUGUUACUUAGUUGAACGUGGACAUUUGAAUGCACCGUUACUAGUGGGCCAUUUUUGGUAAGCAGAACUGGCGAUGCGGGAUGAACCGAACGUGGGGUUAAGGUGCCGGAAUGUACGCUCAUCAGACACCAAGGGGAAUACUUGUGGUGUCUUGCCGGGGGGAUGGACCCCCGGCAUCAGUCUGCGAAAGGCGAGGUCUUUGACCUGUAGGGGUCGGCGGUCGCUCCGGCGAUGGCCUACCCUCUGCUGUCCCUUGACCCGGGCAGCUCACAGAUCAAGCAAAGGCCGGCGGCAGAGUGCCGUUGGAGAUAUGAUCGGCCCCCGAAGG
rnacentral:rRNA from 1 species